AUGGGUGGUGCAGGUGCGUUCCCCAAGCUGAGGGACUUCCAGACAGAUGCAACGCUUGGCUCGUUUCAACAGGGAGAUAUGCCGGUCCUUGAAUCUCUCCGGUUCAGCGUCGUAGCGCAGUCCAAUGAUGAUGACAUUAGCUUUGACUUUGACUUUGUUAGCCUAGGGAACCUCCCUUUGCUUCAAAAAGUCAUCAUCACCUUAUAUGCCCCUCCCGCAGAUCACGAGAAGGCUGAGGAAACGGCGAAGUGUGCAAUUGAUAUGCUUCCCAACAGUGUCGGUCAUUAUAUCAGAAAAAUUGAUAUAAAUCAAAGGCGGUCUUGA
rnacentral:rRNA from 1 species